rnacentral:rRNA from 1 species
GAUGAACGCUGACCGAAUGCUUAACACAUGCAAGUCUUUGGCGAAGCUGUGCUUGCACCGCCUAGCCAAGGCGGACGGGUGAGUAACGCGUAAGGAACUUGCCCUGCAGUCAGGGAUAACAGACGGAAACGACUGAUAAGACCUGGUAAAGUCAGGCGGACUCAUGUCCAGCCUGAUGAAAAGAGAUGCUGCAGGAGAGCCUUGCGUCCUAUUAGCUUGUUGGUGGGGUAACGGCCCACCAAGGCGAUGAUAGGUAGCCGGCCUGAGAGGGUGGACGGCCACAAGGGGACUGAGAUACGGCCCUUACUCCUACGGGAGGCAGCAGUGGGGAAUAUUGGACAAUGGGGGCAACCCUGAUCCAGCAAUUCUGUGUGCACGAUGAAGGUUUUCGGAGUGUAAAGUGCUUUCAGCAGGGAAGAAAAAAAUGACGGUACCUGCAGAAGAAGCGACGGCUAAAUACGUG